rnacentral:rRNA from 1 species
GAUGAACGCUGGCGGCGUGGAUAAGGCAUGCAAGUCAAACGGCCCGCAAGGGCAGUGGCAAACGAGGUAGUAACACGUAGGAACCUCCCCUCAAGUCAGGAAUAACGAGCCGAAAGGUUCGCUAAUACUUGAUAAUCUCUUCGGAGUAAAGAUUUAUCGCUUGAGGAAGGGCCUGCGGGCUAUCAGCUAGUUGGUAGGGUAAAAGCCUACCAAGGCGAUGACGGCUAGGGGAGCUGAGAGGCUGACCCCC